rnacentral:rRNA from 1 species
GACGAACGCUGGCGGCGUGCUUAACACAUGCAAGUCGAGCGGUAAGGCCUUUCGGGGUACACGAGCGGCGAACGGGUGAGUAACACGUGGGUGAUCUGCCCUGCACUUCGGGAUGAGCCUGGGAAACUGGGUCUAAUACCGGAUAUGACCUCCUAUCGCAUGGUGGGUGGUGGAAAGAUUUAUCGGUGCAGGAUGGGCCCGCGGCCUAUCAGCUUGUUGGUGGGGUAAUGGCCUACCAAGGCGACGACGGGUAGCCGACCUGAGAGGGUGACCGGCCACACUGGGACUGAGGCACGGCCCAGACUCCUACGGGAGGCAGCAGUGGGGAAUAUUGCACAAUGGGCGAAAGCCUGAUGCAGCGACGCCGCGUGAGGGAUGACGGCCUUCGGGUUGUAAACCUCUUUCAGCAGGGACGAAGCGCAAGUGACGGUACCUGCAGAAGAAGCACCGGCUAACUACGUG